GAUGAACGCUGACAGAAUGCUUAACACAUGCAAGUCAACUGUGGCGGACGGGUGAGUAACGCGUAAAGAACUUGCCUCGCAGAUAGGGACAACAUUUGGAAACGAAUGCUAAUACCUGAUACUGUGAGAGAGCUUUGCGGCCCAUUAGCUAGUUGUAGAGGUAACGGCUCACCAAGGCGAGGAUGGGUAGCCGGACUGAGAGGGUGAUCGGCCACAAGGGGACUGAGACACGGCCCUUACGCCUACGGGAGGAAGCAGUGAGGAAUAUGGGACAAAGGACCACAGUCUGAUCCAGCAAUUCUGUGUGCACGAUGCAGGUUUCGUAAUGGAAAGUGCUUUCAGUUGGGAAGCGGUACCAACAGAAGAAGUGACGGCUAACUCCGUGCCAGCAGCCGCGGUAAUUC
rnacentral:rRNA from 1 species